rnacentral:rRNA from 1 species
AUGUUGUCCCAGUCAGUGAUUCUGAGGACGCCCGGUCUACUACCAUUUUCCAAUAUGGGUGCGUGCACGAGGUAUUUCUACAAGCUGCUAACUUUCAGAGGGGUUCAAUAUCCGUACGAGCAGUGGGUUUGGGACAAGCUUAUUCCCUUGAAGCACAGAACCUUCCUUUGGCUGGCCUUUUGGGGAAGGCUAAACACUAGAGAUAACAUGGUAAAGAAGGGCUGGUCAGCCAUUGCCCCGAAUGCACACUGCGACCUAUGCCCUGCUGUGGAGUCAAUUGAGCACUUGAUCCUGCAUUGUCGACCGGCACAAACCCUUUGGGAGUUCUUGCACUUGGCGCCCCUGGCACUUUCCUCACUCAACUUGCUAAAUUUUGCAACGCAAGCCUCUGUGCAACUGGCAUGCCUGAAACGACCGGGUCUUCAACAGCAAGGUUUGGUGCGAACCUUACCUCAGAUUCUACGCAGCGGAUCUGCUCCGCAUGUGGCGAUUCCAUGCUAA